GCCGAGGAGCGCUGCAACGGGUUAUUGCCCGCCAGGCUCGGAGCCACGGUGUCGACCCUUGUCCAACGGCGCUCAGU
rnacentral:ncRNA from 1 species